rnacentral:rRNA from 1 species
AUACAGAGGGUGCAAGCGUUAUUCGGAAUUACUGGGCGUAAAGCGCGCGUAGGCGGAUGAUUAAGUCAGUUGUGAAAGCCCUGGGCUCAACCUAGGAACUGCAUCUGAUACUGGUCGUCUAGAGUUUAAGAGAGGGAAGUGGAAUUCCAGGUGUAGCAGUGAAAUGCGUAGAGAUCGGAAGGAACACCAGUGGCGAAGGCGACUUACUGGCCAAAAACUGACGCUGAGGUGCGAAAGCGUGGGUAGCAAACAGGAUUAGAUACCCCAGUAGUCC